UCCAUAUGAAUGUCUUAAAUUUCAUGUGGGAUCUUAAAUUUCAUGUCCGACUCGUCAUUUUUAUUUAUUUUGUCAACCGCAAUUUGACCAGCGUAACAUUUGGGGGCAGCACUUCGUGGGUGCAACCUGCAUCAUUCCAUAGGUGACAUACGAGUAAGUGAUUGAUGAACGCGUUGCGUUGAUGGUUCGCCACCACAGCAGUUUGCGAAAUCGCAAGCAUGGGCAAAGACGAUAAAGCUGUGGACAAGACCACGAUUGUCAGGUCUCGCUAUCUUGGUUCUCAGUUUUUGAGCCCCUCAACGGCAGAAGACUUGCUGUAGCACUUUAGGGAGGGCACCAAGGAACUUAAUUUAAGGAACAUGCUUUCUGUGUCAAUGGAUGUAUCCACAGUAAAUUGGAAAGUCAUGGAUCUCCUACAACUGGAACAUGCAAUAAAUUUCUGAUCCUGAUCUUUCCUACAAUUGUCUGUCAUUCAUUAGGUCUAUGCAUAGAUUAUUGAAUGUGCUUGCAUUUAUCUGUGUCUGAAAUGACAUAGAAAACACUAAUCAGACCCUGAACAACAUUUUCUUGGGGGAGAACCCCCAAACCCAGCUCAAGGCUAUUAGGCAGCAACAUUUAACCAUAAUUUAGAUCAAGUAUGAUGAAAUGGGCUUUUGUAAUGUCCUGGGGCUGUCUUCCAUGUCUUUUUCAAACUGCUAUGAGGGGCCAGAAUUUAGAAAUUACCUGAAGUACCUUAAAGGCUGAUAGUUUAUACAUAGUCAACCAUGUCAGGGUUGUAAGGUCAAUCAGCACUUGGUAUAAAAGUUUUCGCGCCCCUUUGACCUGUCUUGAGCGUGGUUGUGAUGAGUUGUGCCACACUAAUGCUUCGCCAUAUCAAUCUGUGUUGUCGGACUGAACAUUUCCCUUUUUUUUUUUGUUU